rnacentral:pre_miRNA from 1 species
UGUGUACUCCCUCCGUUCCAAAAUACUUGACUUCCAUUUGUCCAAAAAUGGAUGUGCCUAUAUACUAAAACAUGUCUAGAUACAUAUAUAUUUUGACAAAUAGAAGGCAUGUAUUGUGCAACGGAGGGAGUAGAAA